AGGUGGUGCAUGGUUGUCGUCAGCUCGUGUCGUGAGAUGUUGGGUUAAGUCCCGCAACGAGCGCAACCCUUAUUAUCAGUUGCCAGCAUUCAGUUGGGCACUCUGGUGAGACUGCCGGUGACAAACCGGAGGAAGGUGGGGAUGACGUCAAAUCAUCAUGCCCCUUAUGACCUGGGCUACACACGUGCUACAAUGGACGGUACAACGAGUUGCGAAGUCGUGAGGCUAAGCUAAUCUCUUAAAGCCGUUCUCAGUUCGGAUUGUAGGCUGCAACUCGCCUACAUGAAGUUGGAAUCGCUAGUAAUCGCGGAUCAGCAUGCCGCGGUGAAUACGUUCCCGGGCCUUGUACACACCGCCCGUCACACCAUGAGAGUUUGUAACACCCAAAGCCGGUGAGAUAACCUUCGGGAGUCAGCCGUCUAAGGUGGGACAGAUGAUUAGGGUGAAGUCGUAACAAGGUAGCCGUA
rnacentral:rRNA from 2 species